GACGAACGCUGGCGGCGUGCUUAACACAUGCAAGUCGAGCGGGAUCCAACCGGUGGCAACACCGGGGAAGAUCUAGCGGCGAACGGGUGAGUAACACGUGAGCAACCUGCCCCGAAGACUGGGAUAACACCGGGAAACCGGUGCUAAUACCGGAUGUCGUCAUUAGGCCGCAUGACCUGAUGAUGAAAGGAUUCAUCGCUUCGGGAGGGGCUCGCGGGCUAUCAGCNGGUUGGUGGGGUAACGGCCUACCAAGGCGACGACGGCUAGCUGGUCUGAGAGGACGACCAGCCACACUGGGACUGAGACACGGCCCAGACUCCUACGGGAGGCAGCAGUGGGGGAAUCUUGCGCAAUGGGCGAAAGCCUGACGCAGCAACGCCGCGUGGGGGAUGAA
rnacentral:rRNA from 1 species